CUCCUGCUCAGACAAGCCAUCAAUGAUCUCAGAGACCUCGUGCUCACUGCGGGCAGCCGACAUGGAGAGCCCACUGCCACGCUGACCCACCCUGCUGGAAACCAGAGGGACACAGUCAGGACCAGGCAUCCUACUGACAGGCUAGGCCUGGACCAUGGGGUAGAACAUUCUAGAGGCAGGGCCAUUCCUCCUCCACUGCCUCGGCCACCAUCCCCUCCUGAGCGCAUCUGGUACCUCAUCUUGCCCUCGAACUACUCGGGGUAAGAUCUGCUUACCCAAGAUUAAGGAACAAGGCAGCCCUGGUGCCAAUCCAGACGUUGCCACUUCUCCUCGGUGGGACAUGGGGCCAAUGGGCUAACCUCUCGGCCUCAGCUUCCCUGCCUGAAAUAUGGGGCUGGGAAACACAACCACCUCCUGGGACCACGCCCACUGAAGGAGGACGAGAUGGCUGUUGUGGUGGGAAGCUGAGCCUUGAACUCGGUUCCCAAAACCCAUGCCAGGAGCCACGUGCACAGUGGGCACUUGGUGACU
rnacentral:lncRNA from 1 species